AAAAUCAAAAAAAAAAUAUAUAUAUUUCCUUCUAUUAACUUAAAUUUUUGAAUUACGAAGGACAAAAAUUAAAAGACGGUACUUGACCGACUAGCAUAGCUUCUUGGUAGGACGGAAGGUCUUUCUUCUUUUUUUUUUUUUUUUCAGAUACCAAGAUUCAAGUUGGUGGUUUUCGUGCUGGAUUGACUAAUCAUAUAAAGAUAAGUGAAAAUUACAACUGAAUUUUAUAAUAUAUUAUAUAUUUGUGAUGAUUUCUUUGAAGGAAUCUCAUUGAAUAACUUCGUUAUUAUGAAAUUAAUAUAUUUUAACUGAUUACAUUUUUUAUUAAACUAUGCAAAUGCUUAUUUAUUAUAGAUAAUUUCAAAUUGGAAAUUGGAGAAGGAUCAUUUCAUUAAAGAUCGCAAUAAAAUGUUGAAGAAAGGCUCACAUAAUGAGAGGUGUAUCCAAAGGAAUUAUGCACAUUGCGAGAAGACUGCUCAUUAUUGUUUUUUACUGUAAAGCAUAUAUUUAUAAAAACAAAUUUUGAAUAAAGUAUGAAAUAUCAUAAAACCGUUA